GCUCACUCAGUCACUCCAUGACUCCAUCGAGCAUGGAAAGUGUAUCCCACGCGCCGGCACAUUCAUCAUCCUCUUCUGCUUCUUCUUCAUCACAGGAUUCGCAGCACAAAAUUUGGAUACAGGCCCAAGAUGAGCUGAAGCAAAAGCUAAUUGCACAAGAUGAUUUCCAAUGGAGAUUAUCUACUACUGCACCCACAAGUGAUCAAGACGAGGUGGAAGUGCUGAAGUAUGUGGGUGGGGUUGAUAUAAGUUAUUCAAAGCAAGACACAUCAAUGGCAUGUGGGACUCUUGUAGUUUUGGACAUUCAUACCCUCCAAGUUGUUUAUGAAGAUCACUCUCUUGUCACCCUCACUGUGCCUUACGUUCCUGGCUUCCUUGCUUUCAGAGAGGCUCCAGUGCUCCUUGAGCUUUUGGAGAAGAUGAAAGCCAGUGCUAGUCUUUUCUAUCCACAGCUGCUAAUGGUAGAUGGAAAUGGAAUACUUCAUCCUCGAGGUUUUGGCUUGGCUUGUCAUCUUGGCAUUGUAGCAAAUCUACCUACCAUUGGAAUUGGAAAAAAUCUUCAUCAUGUGGAUGGGUUAACAUUAACUGGGGUGAGGCAACUUCUUAAAGCCAAAGAAGACUGUGUUGAAGAUUUUGUUACUUUGAUAGGGUGCUCUGGACGUAUAUGGGGAGUGGCUGUGAGAUCUACAGACGGCUGCAUGAAGCCUAUAUUUAUUUCAGUGGGUCACCGCAUUUCGCUUGAUACUGCCAUCAAAACUGUUAUAAAGACUUGCAAGUAUCGUGUGCCAGAGCCUAUCCGGCAGGUGAAAACUGAAUACUCUCUGAAAGUUUUGGCGUUUACUAUCAUUAUAUCUUUAAUGGUGAUAUCUCAAUAAACUGUUGGCCCUAUUAGUAAGAAAGUAGGUAUGGUAUCUUGCUUUUUUGGAUCCUUAGACCUUAGUUGCUUUGUGUUUCUAAUCCGUAAUACUGGGGUUUGUCUAAUUGGAUAGAUGAUACUGGUGUUUGGCCUAAUUGUCUUUCUAAUCACAUAUAUAGUGAAGUUUCAGGCAUUAUAGUUGUAGUGUGAGGGGUUUAGCUGUUUUACCUCGUUUAGGCAUACACUAAAAAAUGUCUCACUCAUGUGCUAUUGUACCCAUGCUGCAUAUUCAUUGGUCGAAGAAACCUGCAUUUAGCGGUUUAGCCUAGGUUCUGUGAUCAUAAAUGUGGGGGGAUUAAGCAUACACUAAAAAGUAAGGAGUAUCUCAUUAAUAUGGUAUUGUAGCCAUGCUGCUUGUUCAUUGAUCGAACUGUCGAAGAAACCUGCAUGCAACCUAAGUUCUCUGAUUAUGAAUUUAAUAGCUGCACAGCUGAGAACAUGUUAUUUUACUGAUAGUAUACAUUUGGGACGAAGAUCAUCUUUUAGAAGACUUUUUCACAAGUUGUCCAGAAAAUCUGAGUCUUAAUUUUAAGUUGUCUGGUUGCAUAAUAUUGUUCUAUAAAGGGCAGUUGUUGACCACAAAAUGGAAGAUAUUCUCCUUAUCCGAUUGUUUACUGUUAUAAUUUGUUUGUCAUCUGGUGCUGUUAUCAUCUUUAGUUAGAGAUUAUGUUUAACAGCAUCAUCCUGAUGGAGGCAGGCUGAUAUAAGAUCUAGAGAAUAUCUUCGGAAGCAUCAAGCGAUGAUCUCCAAAUGAUUGCAGAUUAUCUGGGGCCUAUAGCAUCUGCUGCACCAGCAUAAAAGGUUCCCUGCAUCAACCAUCAACUUGGGUAGAACCCUGAUAACAACAACAAGCGCUUCCAUACAUAUUGAGGAAAAUGCACUAGGAUUACAGGCAACAGAUGGAUCUUUGUUGUUUCGCCUGGCAGGGGAACUUACAGCCAGACCCAGGUGGUUAUUUUGUUUAACCAAAAAUUGUUCGUCGAAUCUGAUGUCGAAGUCCUUAACCAAGAUUUCUGCAAUCUGCAAUGGGGAUAUUCAGAAGGUCAGUGGUGAAUGAAUUAUGAGAAUGGCUUUGCAGUAUCCCUCGGCUUGAUGUUGUA